AGAGACAGCAGUCGCCACGGUAAUACGAAGGGUGCAAGCGUUACUCGGAAUUACUGGGCGUAAAGCGUGCGUAGGUGGUGGUUUAAGUCCGUUGUGAAAGCCCUGGGCUCAACCUGGGAAUUGCAGUGGAUACUGGGUCACUAGAGUGUGGUAGAGGAUAGUGGAAUUUCCGGUGUAGCAGUGAAAUGCGUAGAGAUCGGAAGGAACAUCUGUGGCGAAGGCGACUAUCUGGGCCAACACUGACACUGAGGCACGAAAGCGUGGGGAGCAAACAGGAUUAGAUACCCCCGUAGUCCCUGUCUCUUAUCC
rnacentral:rRNA from 1 species